CAAGAGUGAUGGUUAUGAGAGGGGCCGUACUCCAGGCUGAUGAGAUUGCUUCGUGUUUUGUUAUGACAUUGCCUCUUCCUAGCAAAAUGGACAUGCUGGUGGUAUUCCCUGACUUAAGCGCUCAUGUUUACUCUGGAUGUCACAUUUAGCCGUGGAUUGUGAAAUGCUUGAAAACUGGAUCACGGGAGCAUUAUUUAAUGCUAAGUGUUAUCUGCAUCAUAUCUGAAGCUGGAACAUGCCAGGAAAAACAUCCUUCAUAUUCUGCAACUAAUAUAUACGAGCUUUCAGGAUUAAUCGUGAAUUGGCUGGAUUGAAAGUGCUGGGACUAAAUCUAGGCGAUCAAUGACCUCUUUGAGUGAGUGGAAUAAAGUCACAGCACCCUCAGGAGAGAGGUGGUAUGUAAUGAGGAGAGACUAUUUCAAGCCGCAAACAGGGCAGGAAUGGAGGCGAUGUGGCUCCUACUGCAACACCCUCCCGGCUUUGCUGUGGCUUAUUGCAUCCUGAAGAAAGCAGAGAGAUCCUUGUGCUGCUUCAAAAGUAAGAAUCACGAAGCCUGGAUUAUUCAAACAAAUUCUGGGGCAGUCUUCUGGCUUUUAAAUGCUUCCUGGAGUGACUUUGUGAAAAAUGAGCAACCAAGCAGAGGAGCGGAGGAAUAAGGAAAAAGAAGGGAAAGAAGAAAUAUCAACUGCACAAGGGUCUUCUAGCUCAUGUCACCUGCAGCAGCUCCCGGCCCCGGGUGGACCAUGCCUCUGGGCAAGAGCAGAGAAGUUGUGUAACAGAGCUGAGCUUCGCCAGGUCCUUUCUCCUGACACAUCCCAGACCACAAGUAUGGCCCUUACAUCUGACGGAGAGAAGCAGCAGGGGCACGUGUGAGUCAUGGCCCUCAUGACAGGGGAAUUCCUCGCUGGCUACUGGCAGCUGUGGUGCUGAGUGGUUUCCACUGCCUGAGCAUUACGGAAAGAGCCGUUCUUGGCUGAGUAUUUAAUUCCAAUUUCUCACCUCCCUUCAAAAUAGAAGAUCCUGACAUAGGGUUUUUUUGAUCUAAAAGUUCUCAUGCAGUUCUUUGUGAACUAGAAGACGCUCAGGUUCACAGCAAGCCCCAGGGUAUCCUUCAGAGGCAUCUGAGUCAAGUUACACUUUGCACUCUACUUGUUCCCUGACAAGAAAUCACAAAAGAGCAGACUAUCAGUCAAUGAAAUAACCAAACUGUCCAGCUUUUUGUGGCAUUUCAGGCCUAGUUAGCCCAAAUCCUGGUUUUGCCUUUUAAAAGUACCUGUUAUCUGCCCACAAGUGGUAUUACCUGUGCUUGGAGCUGCAGGAGCGCGGCUUGGCACAGCUCUGCCUGCAGGAGCCGCUCCAUCUGUACAAGAAACUUGGAAUGGCCACUCCUUGUUUCACCGAGGUCCAUGGGCCACAGCAGCUCCCAACAGUCAAACAGUGUGCCUGGCAUUUCAUUCUGGCUUCCUGGGUGCUGAGCUGAUGCCAGAGGACAUGUCAAAGGUUAUGACUCAGAGGGGAAGAGGUUCUCUGAACAGCAGGUUCUCCUCAAGCCGAGAGGAGUUGUUUCCUCUUUAAUAGCACGGCCAGAUGUUACCGCAGUGUUAUUCCCCCACCGGGCAACGACACACGGCAGCGCCUUACCCAAAUGAUCUACAGUUGAGCAAGCUCAUGAAAGUAAGAGUCCACAGAGUACUUCUCCACCCUGUUUCUGCCCGGGUCCCUGAGACGGUAUUUCUGCACCACGUUUCACUCUUCAUACGCGUAAGCUGUCUUAAGAUGAAUAAACUGAGGCACGGAGCCACAAUUAAACCUGCAAUCCGGUCAGGCAGUGCAAAAGAGUGAGAAUUAGAUCCAGCUACCAGUCCCUGGACCACACAGAGGAAAAAGAGAGUCUGCUAGUUUCUAGCAGUCUAAUAGGCUCUCUCGGUGCUACCAGAUUUCCUUUGCAAACACAAAUCUCAAACUGGAGAGCAACAACUUCACACAGUAGUUGAGAUUCCAAGGCAGAUAUUCCCAGGAUGUUGGCAGCUGUUUUUGCUGCUGCUGCUGGAACUACAGGAUACAAACUCCAGAGAAAAAAAAACCAAUUGGUUGAAGGAGUGGGACCCGUCAGAAUGGAGGUCUUCAGGUUGCAACGCAUACCGGUAAUCUGACAUUUAAAGAAGCUAGAGACUGGGAAAUAGAUUUUAUCCUCUUCUCCACUAGAUUUUUCCAGCUGACUUCAAAAGAAACAAGACCAGGCUUGACCCAGUCCGUAAGAAGCUGAGGCAAAAGAGAGAUUUGCCAGUGACAUUACAGGAACUUGUCUGGGCACAGAGAGAGUGGUUGUAGCUGGAGUCUGCAGAAGGUUGGAGGCUGUACUUCUGUGAGAUUCAGACCACAUCCCAUUUUGUCAGAGCUGUGGACAGAAAGCACUUUGGAAAGAAACAUGCCCUUUACGGGCAGCCUGAAAAGAUGCCACUUUUGUUUGAAUCUACAGGUGUGUCCAGACGGAUGGGUACAGCCACGUCUGCUCUGUUAGAGGGCUGAGUUGGUUUUGAUGCGGGUCAGCUACGGUCUAGAUGCCACAUAGGCUGUAUCACUGCACUGCACCUGUGUUAAGAGACUUUUUUGGAGGGUUCUGAGCGUAACAGUUCAGGGAAG